UGUUUUAUAUAUUUGGGUGCUAAAUAAUGGAUGGUGAUUCCGUAGAAGAGAGUGCUCUGCACCAUUGAGUAGUAGAUCAUUCUUUUAGUAGUAAUGGGAAAGUGAUAGCUAAUUCUUGAACAUUUAUAAAGAGCAGCUCUCAUUAUUUUCAAAAGUGAUUUAUUAUGGGAUCUGAAUCUCAUAUCAUCAUCAAACAUUAUUCCUAAAUCAAAAUAGCUGAA